UUCCUGAUGUUUAGUCAGAAUCUCCUUUCUUGUAACUUGAAUCCAUUGGUUGAAGUCAAACCCUCUAGAGCAGGAGAAGACAAGCUUGCUCCAUCUUCUAUGUGACAGCCCUUCAGAUAUUUGAAGGUGGCUAUCAUAUCUCCUCUCAGUCUCCUCUUUUCCAGGCUAAACAUACCCAGCUCCCUCAAACA